rnacentral:rRNA from 1 species
GCAGUCGAGCGGACCGACGGGAGCUUGCUCCCUUAGGUCAGCGGCGGACGGGUGAGUAACACGUGGGUAACCUGCCUGUAAGACUGGGAUAACUCCGGGAAACCGGGGCUAAUACCGGAUGCUUGAUUGAACCGCAUGGUUCAAUCAUAAAAGGUGGCUUUUAGCUACCACUUACAGAUGGACCCGCGGCGCAAUAGCUAGUUGGUGAGGUAACGGCUCACCAAGGCGACGAUGCGUAGCCCACCUGAGAGGGUGAUCGGCCACACUGGGACUGAGACACGGCCCAGACUCCUACGGGAGGCAGCAGUAGGGAAUCUUCCGCAAUGGACGAAAGUCUGACGGAGCAACGCCCCGUGAGUGAUGAAGGUUUUCGGAUCGUAAAACUCUUUUGUUAGGGAAGAACAAGUACCGUUCGAAUAGGGCGGCACCUUGACGGUACCUAACCAGAAAGCCACGGCUAACUACGUGCC